AUCUGAUGGUGUGGGCAGCUAGCACCUAAUCUCUUGAAACGUUCCCAAUACUCAUAUAGUGAUUCUCCAUUAUAUUGACGGAUACCACAGAUUUCUUUCCUGAUGCU